UACGGGGGGGGCAAGCGUUGUUCGGAAUUACUGGGCGUAAAGGGCUCGUAGGCGGCCAACUAAGUCGGAUGUGAAAUCCCCAGGCUCAACUUGGGAACUGCAUCCGAUACUGGAUGGCUUGAAUUCGGGAGAGGGAUGCAGAAUUCCAGGUGUAGCGGUGAAAUGCGUAGAUAUCUGGAGGAAUACCGGUGGCGAAGGCGGCAUCCUGGACCAUUACUGACGCUGAGGCGCGAAAGCUAGGGGAGCAAACGGG
rnacentral:rRNA from 1 species